UACGUAGGGUGCAAGCGUUGUCCGGAAUUAUUGGGCGUAAAGAGCUUGUAGGCGGUUUGUCGCGUCUGCUGUGAAAUUUCGGGGCUCAACCCCGAACUUGCAGUGGGUACGGGCAGACUAGAGUGUGGUAGGGGAGACUGGAAUUCCUGGUGUAGCGGUGAAAUGCGCAGAUAUCAGGAGGAACACCGGUGGCGAAGGCGGGUCUCUGGGCCGAAACUGACGCUGAGGAGCGAAAGCGUGGGGAGCGAACAGG
rnacentral:rRNA from 1 species